GCCAGAAGGAGGAACGGGCUGUGAGCAGUUCCCAUCUUCCUAGCAGGGGGCUGGAAGAAGGGUCCAACCAGGCCUUUCUUUAUCCCUGGAUUUGAGGCUAACCAGCCAGGUGGCUUGACUUCCCAGGUGGCUCACUGGGUAAAGAAUCUGCCUGCAAUGCAGGAGACACAGGAGAUUCGGGUUCGAUCCCUUGGCCAGGAAGAUCCCCUAGAGAAGGGCAUGGCAACCCACUCCAGUAUUCUUGCCUGGAGAAUCCCAUGGACAGAGGAACCUGGAAAGCUAUAGCCCAUACAGUCACAAAGAGUUGGAGAUGACUGAGUACACAUAUACAGCCAGGUGGCUCAGACAGUAAAGAAUCUGCCUGCAAUACAGAAGACAGGAUUUGAUUCCUGGGUCAGAAGGAUCCCCUGGAGAAGGGAAUGGUUACCCACUACAGUAUUCUUGCCUGGAGAAUCCCAUGUACAGAGGAGCCUGAUGGGCUAAAGUCCUUGGGGGUCACAAAAAGUCGGACACGACUAAGCAAUCUGGGGAGACCUCCAAGAGCAACUGGUGUCCUAUGAUAAAAUCCACCCAUUCACCCUUACCUCAGGCACUCCCAUUGUCCCCUUAGAGUGCUCCGGGGUGUCCCUUCCUCUCAAAAUCUCUUCCUCCCUCUCUCAGACACCUCAAACAAAGCCUUCAGGAUCAAACAAAGCAUCCAGGAUCUUAGUUCCCCAACCAGGGAUGGAACGCUCACCCCCUGCAGUGGAAGCUCAGAGUCUUAACCACUGGAUGGACAGGGAAGUCCACCUCCACCAACACCCGAAGCCUCCUCGCUGGCAUCCAUCUUGGCUGAGCAAAGCAUGUGCGACCAGGAAGGACCCUGAGUCAGAGUGACUGGCCAGAGACAACCCGGAAACUAAUCCCAUCACCAUAAAACCUGAGACAGCGAGCCACGCGGCAGAGCAGUUCUCCUGGCUUCCCUCACACUCCUGCUCUCCACCUGGCGUCCUCUUCCCAAUAUAGCCUCUUGCUUUGACAGCUCGUGUGUCUCCUUGGACAAUUCAUUUCCGAGUGUUAGACAGGAACCCUCUCUCAGGCCCUGGAAUGGGUCCCCCUUCCUGCAACAUUAUGACAACCAAAAAUGUCUCAUGUGUGUUUAGUCGCUCAGUCGUGUCCGACUGUUUGCGACCCCAUGGACUUAACUUUCCCCUAUGGAGCCCGCCAGGCUCCUCUAUCCAUGGGCUUCUCCAGGCAAGAAUACUGGAGAGGGUUGCCAUUUCCUUCUCCAUAAAAUGUUUUGAGACAUUGUCAAAUGUCCCCACAGCGGGGUACAAAACUGCCCCUGACUGAGAACCACUGGUUCAGAGUGAGGAGUGGGAGGACUUGGGAGAGGGUUGGUGUGCCAGGGUUCCGGGCGGCAUGGGCUGUGUACCAGGAACUGCACCGAGACAGCUGGCAGCAAGAGAGAAAACUCCCAACCCCAAACCACCUGGCAGGGAAGGGCAACAAUGGGGCCAUUUAGUGUUCAGGGCAAACAAUCUUAUGUAUCUCCCCAGCAUCUGAGGACAUGGCUCUCAAGAACGUUAAUGAUAAUGCUGAAUUGAGGAGAGGAACCAUCACGUCGAUCACACUCUGUUUACUGAGGACUUCCCUGGUGGCUCAGUGGAUAAGAAUCCACCUGUCAAUCCAGGGGACAUGAAUUCAAUUCUUGGUCUGGGAAAAUUCCUCUUGCCACAGAGCAGCUAAGCCAGGUUGCACCACAACUACUGAGCCCACGUGCUGCCAACUACCGAAGCCUGAGCACUCUAGAGCCCGUGCUCCCCAACAAGAGAAGCCACGGCAACGCGAAGCCUGAGCACUGCAGCUAGAGGGUAGCCCCUGCUCACCUCAACUAGAGAAGAGUCCAUGCACAGCAACGAAUACCCAAUAAAAAAUAAAUAAAAUGUGUUCAUUGUUUAACAUUUUA
ensembl:lncRNA